UACGUAGGGUGCAAGCGUUAAUCGGAAUUACUGGGCGUAGAGCGUGCGCAGGCGGUUAUGCAAGACAGAUGUGAAAUCCCCGGGCUCAACUUGGGAACUGCAUUUGUGACUGCAUAGCUAGAGUACGGUAGAGGGGGAUGGAAUUCCGAGUGUAGAGGUGAAAUUCGUAGAUAUUCGGAAGAACACCAGUGGCGAAGGCGACUCACUGGACAUGUAUUGACGCUGAGGUGCGAAAGCGUGGGGAGCAAACAGG
rnacentral:rRNA from 1 species